UCUAAUGAGUGGAUCUGCCGAAUUAAGAGAACAGGCAGCGCUAGGUCUUGGAGAGCUGAUUGAAGUGACAAGUGAGAAGGCUCUGAAGGAGUGUGUAAUCCAAAUAACACGACCACUUAUCCGGAUAAUAGGUGAUCGGUUUCCUUGGCAAGUGACGAGUGCAAUAUUAUCCACUCUAAGCAUCAUACGAAGAAAGGGAGGAUUGGCUCUGAAGCCUUUUCUUCCUCAGCUGCAGACGACUUUUGUCAAAUGUCUCCCGGACAAUACAAGGAGUGUCCGCUCAAGUGCUGCCCUUGCCCUUGGAAAGCUCAGUGCACUUAGUCCCAGGAGUGACCCCUUGGUAGGUGUCCUUUGUCCAACUUGCAGGCUUCGGGUGCUGGAAUUAGGGAGGCCAAUUUGACUGCUUUAAAAGGUGUGGCGGGGUAUGCUGGAAUGAAUGUGAGCAGUGCUGUCAAAACUCGGGUGUACAUGCUCCUAUAAAAGAUAUGAUUCAUCACGAUGAUGAUCAAGUUCGAAUAUCUGCUGCAGACG